rnacentral:rRNA from 1 species
AUUGAACGCUGGCGGCAGGCCUAACACAUGCAAGUCGAACGGUAGCACAGAGAGCUUGCUCUCGGGUGACGAGUGGCGGACGGGUGAGUAACGUCUGGGAAACUGCCCGAUGGAGGGGGAUAACUACUGGAAACGGUAGCUAAUACCGCAUAACGUCGCAAGACCAAAAUGGGGGACCUUCGGGCCUCACACCAUCGGAUGUGCCCAGAUGGGAUUAGCUAGUAGGUGGGGUAAUGGCUCACCUAGGCGACGAUCCCUAGCUGGUCUGAGAGGAUGACCAGCCACACUGGAACUGAGACACGGUCCAGACUCCUACGGGAGGCAGCAGUGGGGAAUAUUGCACAAUGGGCGCAAGCCUGAUGCAGCCAUGCCGCGUGUAUGAAGAAGGCCUUCGGGUUGUAAAGUACUUUCAGCGGGGAGGAAGGCGGUGAAGUUAAUAACUUCACCGAUUGACGUUACCCGCAGAAGAAGCACCGGCUAACUCCGUGCCAGCAGCCGCCGUAA